CUUUCGUCUCUAAUCUCUCUCUUCUUCCUCUUCCCUCUAAUCUCUUCUUCUUCUUCUUCUUCGACUUCUCUUUUCGACUUUCUCUCCCCGCCGUCGAGACCGACCGGACGACCUCCUCCGCCGAUCCUUCGUGUCUCCUCGAGGAGAGGUCCGCUACAACCUCCUCCGCCCCUCCGGCCGAGGACCCUCGGGUCGGUCGGGGCCGGUGACCCUCGGGUAUACCCGUCGUUGUCGCGGCGUUGGAUGGCUGCUUGCGCUUC
rnacentral:rRNA from 1 species